AGCAGUGUGGCUCAGUGGAAAGAGCAUGGCCUUUGGGAGUCAGAGGUCACGGGUUCAAAUCCUGACUCAGCCA
rnacentral:tRNA from 1 species